UGUUCAUAGAACAAAAGAGAGCUAGUAGACGCAAAAUCAUGCAAAUGAACUUGAAAUGAAAACAGAUUUUAACCAAAUGCAUAAGCCAUAGGGAUCCUGAACAAACACCAACUCUUCAGUUUUAUUUGAAUAACUUGGAUUGAUGUGUAGCAAUUACCUAUUUCAGCAAAGUUACACAGUUUCUCCAGUUUAGUUCCGAAGAUAUGCCAAAGCUGAUUCGAAGUACUGACUAUACUAUCUAUAAACACAAUAGCACUUGAAAGUAAUGUACUUGUUGGGAGACAAGCUUUUGAAAUGCGAAGUAAAUGAGCAGAGGUUACCAAAUAGCACAUCGCAAAUCUUAAACCUUUCACAAGGUCAAAAGCUACAAGAUAAUGAGAACGGGACUGAGUUCAGGAUUCACAGGGGCUUACAAGUAUAGUGACACAAAAAGCUUGAGGCAAUUUUGAGGCUUCCGGAACAAAAUUUCACAAGAAUAUCGAUGAUUACAUAAAACUGAAUUAUACAGCAGCUAGAGCCAUCACUCAAGCAACAUUGCUCACUAAAACGACAAAAAAGUGACUAGUCAUUUUCCUCAAACAGGUGUGAUGUGUAGGAGUUUCUAUGAUUCUUGAAACAAUAUAUUGAUUCUUGUUUUAAAAAAAA